CAGGUGUGUCCCAGUUACACCCAGGUGUGUCCCAGGUGUGUCACAGUUACAGGUGUGUCCCAGUUGCACCCAGGUGUGUCACAGUUACGGGUGUGUCCCAGUUGCACUCAUGUGUGUCCCAGGUGUGUCCCAGGCGUGUCCCAGGUGU